rnacentral:rRNA from 1 species
GUGUCCCAGUUUUGGGAUCGCCAUAGAGGGGAGUAGAGGGGGCUAAAAGUACCUCGUCGCUGUGUCUCCGCUGGUUUUGUCGCUAGGCUCCAUGAGGCCGGUACCGCCACGCCGUCGAGGCAAACAGCCUCGUCGCACAGACCGAGUUCCGGCACGCGAGGAGGCGGCUUGCCGUGGUCGGUACAGCUCGAGUACCGCUCUGGGCCUGAGGAAGUCGCGGACCCUACGCCCUCCUUAGAGCAGCCGCCGACGGUUACCUUCGUAAGGCGCCGCUGUCACCGCAGUUGUACGUUCCGUGUCUCCGGCCGGCUGUGCGCACAGGUACUCGUGUAGUCGACGCCGGCGUUAGAAGGGCUCUCUGCCGCCGCAGCGGCCGCAGCUACGGGUGCGUGCCGCCGGCGACACGACCUGGGGCUGCGCCGCAGUAGUUCCGUGUUGUAUCGGAUACUUGAGGUCACUGCUCCUACUCGUUGUCGUCACCGUGGCGCCACUACAUCAGCACCUCUCCGUCGUCGAGUAGGUCCUCGAAGCGGCCACCGUUGUCCUUCGGCGGCCGUGUCGGAACGCCGCUGGUCUCCACCUUUGCCGGAAGACUAGGGGAAUCGAGGGGAAAAAUCCUAGCCAUCAACUCCAGUACUAUUUUUAAUGGACAUUUACUACCUAGUGUGUAUGUCCUCUUCAUGGAGGGAAAAUAUACACCCCCGAUCCCUUGUCCCUGGCUUUGGUUAUCCAACAAACGUGGGGAUUAGUGUCACGCACGGGCUCUCUCCAUACCACCCGGUGUGGGGUUGAAAAGAGAGCCAACAAUCAGCUCUAGUUAAGGUUGUCCCUGGUGAGGGCCACUACUGGCAUCAAAAAUCCUCAAGUACAUAAAUUGUACACAAUUACGAAACAAGGCCAAGAGAUAAUUUUCCUCCAGAAUUAUAGAAAAUUACAAGUUAACCUG